CCUACGGGAGGCAGCAGUGGGGAAUUUUGGACAAUGGGGGCAACCCUGAUCCAGCCAUUCCGCGUGAGUGAAGAAGGCCUUCGGGUUGUAAAGCUCUUUCGCAAGGGAAGAAAACUUAUGAUCGAAUAAAUCAUGAGGUUGACGGUACCUUGAUAAGAAGCACCGGCUAACUACGUGCCAGCAGCCGCGGUAAUACGUAGGGUGCGAGCGUUAAUCGGAAUUACUGGGCGUAAAGCGUGCGCAGGCGGUUUUGUAAGUCGGAUGUGAAAUCCCCGGGCUCAACCUGGGAACUGCGUUCGAAACUGCAAGGCUAGAGUGUGUCAGAGGGGGGUAGAAUUCCACGUGUAGCAGUGAAAUGCGUAGAGAUGUGGAGGAAUACCAAUGGCGAAGGCAGCCCCCUGGGAUAACACUGACGCUCAUGCACGAAAGCGUGGGGAGCAAACAGGAUUAGAUACCCUGGUAGUCCACGCCCUAAACGAUGUCAACUAGUUGUUGGUAGAGUAAAAUCUAUAAGUAACGUAGCUAACGCGUGAAGUUGACCGCCUGGGGAGUACGGUCGCAAGAUUAAAACUCAAAAGGAAUUGACGGCGUGAGACGUGCCGACGGACGACGACGAGGGAGGAGG
rnacentral:rRNA from 1 species